rnacentral:tRNA from 1 species
GUUCACUUAAGUUAUUGCAAAGNGCUCGAAACUGCAAUGCCUUCUAAGCAGUAGGUCGCAGGUUCGAGUCCUGCAGGGGUCGCCA